UGAAUCUAAACUUUAACUUA
rnacentral:rRNA from 1 species